AGAACGAACGCUGGCGGCAGGCCUAACACAUGCAAGUCGAACGCCCCGCAAGGGGAGUGGCAGACGGGUGAGUAACGCGUGGGAACGUACCUUUCGGUUCGGAAUAACCCGGGGAAACUCGGGCUAAUACCGGAUACGUCCGCAAGGAGAAAGAUUUAUCGCCGAAAGAUCGGCCCGCGUCGGAUUAGCUAGUUGGUGAGGUAACGGCCCACCAAGGCGACGAUCCGUAGCUGGUCUGAGAGGAUGAUCAGCCACACUGGGACUGAGACACGGCCCAGACUCCUACGGGAGGCAGCAGUGGGGAAUAUUGGACAAUGGGCGAAAGCCUGAUCCAGCCAUGCCGCGUGAGUGAAGAAGGCCUUAGGGUGUAAAGCUCUUUCAGCGGGGAAGAUAAUGACGGUACCCGCAGAAGAAGUCCCGGCUAACUUCGUGCCAGCAGCCGC
rnacentral:rRNA from 1 species